rnacentral:rRNA from 1 species
CCUACGGGAGGCAGCAGUGGGGAAUAUUGCACAAUGGGCGAAAGCCUGAUGCAGCGACGCCGCGUGAGGGAUGACGGCCUUCGGGUUGUAAACCUCUUUCAGUAGGGAACAAGGCCAGACAUUCUCUGGUUGAGGGUACUUGCAGAAGAAGCGCCGGCUAACUACGUGCCAGCAGCCGCGGUAAUACGUAGGGCGCAAGCGUUAUCCGGAAUUAUUGGGCGUAAAGAGCUCGUAGGCGGUUUGUCGCGUCUGCCGUGAAAGUCCGGGGCUCAACCCCGGAUCUGCGGUGGGUACGGGCAGACUAGAGUGAUGUAGGGGAGACUGGAAUUCCUGGUGUAGCGGUGAAAUGCGCAGAUAUCAGGAGGAACACCGAUGGCGAAGGCAGGUCUCUGGGCAUUAACUGACGCUGAGGAGCGAAAGCAUGGGGAGCGAACAGGAUUAGAUACCCUGGUAGUCCAUGCGUAACGUAGGUCGACUAGUGUGGGACGAUCUCGUUCCGUCGCGUACGCGUACGCGAGUAGUGCCCGCCGUCGGGAGGUACGGCCGGCGACGGACGUUAAACGUUACGUAAGUUAAGUUAGUACGGCGUUGAGACGNGCGACGGCGACGACGAGGGAGGAGG